rnacentral:rRNA from 2 species
CACGCCGUAAACGAUGAGUACUAAGUGUCGGGGGAAUCUCGGUGCUGAAGCAAAUGUAAUAAGUACUCCGCCUGAGUAGUACGUGCGCAAGCAUGAAACUCAAAGGAAUUGACGGGACCCUGCACAAGCGGUGGAUCAUGUUGUUUAAUUCGAGGAUACGCGAAGAACCUUACCAGGCCUUGACAUCCUCUGCAAAGCUAUAGAGAUAUAGUGGAGGUUAACAGAGAGACAGGUGG